AUUGAACGCUGGCGGCAUGCCUUACACAUGCAAGUCGAACGGUAACGCGGGGCAACCUGGCGACGAGUGGCGAACGGGUGAGUAAUGCAUCGGAACGUGCCUAGUAGUGGGGGAUAGCCCGGCGAAAGCCGGAUUAAUACCGCAUACGACCUAUGGGUGAAAGCGGGGGAUCGCAAGACCUCGCGCUAUUGGAGCGGCCGAUGUCAGAUUAGGUUGUUGGUGGGGUAAAGGCCUACCAAGCCUGCGAUCUGCAGCUGGUCUGAGAGGACGACCAGCCACACUGGGACUGGGACACGGCCCAGACUCCUACGGGAGGCAGCAGUGGGGAAUUUUGGACAAUGGGCGCAAGCCUGAUCCAGCCAUGCCGCGUGCGGGAAGAAGGCCUUCGGGUUGUAAACCGCUUUUGUCAGGGAAGAAAUGUUCUGGGCUAAUACCCCGGGAAGAUGACGGUACCUGAAGAAGAAGCACCGGCUAACUACGUGCCAGCCGCCACCGUAAAAC
rnacentral:rRNA from 1 species